GAUCAAGCUACAAAGGGUUUAUUAUGAAUGACUGGGCAGAUAAAGGCGAUGAAGGACGUGGAAAGCUGCGAUAAGCCCCGGGGAGCCGCAAUUGGCUUUGAUCCGGGGAUCUCCGAAUGGGGCAACCCCAUCAGGUUCAUCCCUGAUGAUCUCCUGCUGAAUACAUAGGCAGGUUGAAGCUAUACCAGGUGAACUGAAACAUCUAAGUAACCUGAGGAAAAGAAACCGAAUGGGAUUCUCUUAGUAGCGGCGAGCGAAGAGAGAAAAGGCUAAACCGACGAGCUUGCUCGUCGGGGUUGCGGGACCUCAACGUGGUAUUGUGAGGGAAUAGCGGAAGUGUUUGAAAAAACACGCCAUAGACUGUGAGAGCCAGGUACGCGAAAUUCCCAAGCAGCCUAGAGGUAUCCCAAGUACUGCCGGGCACGGGAAAUCUGGCAGGAAUCUGGCCCGACCAUGGGCUAAGCCUAAAUACUCAAUCUGACCGAAAGUGGACAAGUACCGUGAGGGAAAGUUGAAAAGAACCCCGGGAGGGGAGUGAAAUAGAACCUGAAAUAAUAAACCUACAAGCUGUCGGAGGCCUAUGCAUGCUUUCGGGCAUGAACGGCUGACGGCGUACCUUUUGCAUAAUGGACCAACGAGUUAUUAUAUGUUGCAAGCUUAAGCUCCUCUGGAGUGUAGGCGUAGGGAAACCGAGUCUGAAUAGGGCGACCAUAGUAACAUAUAAUAGACCCGAAACCAUGUGAUCUACCCAUGGCCAGGUUGAAGCUUAUCGAAAGAUAAGUGGAGGACCGAACGCAUUAUCGUUGAAAAGAUUCGCGAUGAGCUGUGGGUCGGAGUGAAAGGCUAGUCAAACAUGGCAAUUGCUGGUUCUCCCCGAAAUAGUUCUAGGACUAGCUUCAAGGAAUUGAUAAUCAGGGGUAGAGUUACUGAAUAGACUAGGGGCCCUACCGGGCUGCCAAAUCUAACCAAACUCCGAAUACUGAUUAUUUUAUCUUGGAAGUCAGAGUAUGAGGGCUAAGCUUCAUACUCGAGAGGGAAACAGCCCAGACCAUCAACUAAGGUCCCAAAUAUAGACUAAGUGGUAAAGGAAGUGAGAUCACAUAGACAGCCGGGAUGUUGGCUUAGAGGCAGCCAUCAUUUAAAGAGUGCGUAACAGCUCACCGGUCGAGUGAUUUCGCGCCGAAAAUGAUCGGGGCUCAAGUCUAUAACCGAAGUUAUGGCUUUUCGUCGCAUGCGUGCGGCGGAAGGGGUAGGGGAGCGUAGUGCUAAGCGUUGAAGGCAUACCGAGAGGAAUGCUGGAGUUGGCACUAGUGAUACUGUUGGUAUGAGUAGCGAAAACUAUAGCGAGAAACUAUAGCAUCGAAAAUCUCAGGUUUCCUGGGGAAGGUUAAUCCGCCCAGGGUUAGUCGAUCCUAAGUCGAGGCCGAAAGGCGUAGGCGAUGGACAGCAGGUUAAUAUUCCUGCACUGACUACAAGCGUUAUUACCUCAAUGUGACGGGGAAGGUUAUGCAAGCGCAGUGUUGGAUGUCUGCGUCUAAGGCCGUAGUCUUUGACCGCAAGGUCAAGGAUGAGAACUGACGGGGAGCCCAAGCGCAAGUGCGGGUGAAGUUGCAGAUACCAUGCUUCCAAGAAAAACCAUUGAGGGAGUGUUGUGGUCAAUCGUACCGGAAUCCGACACAGGUAGAUAGGCUGAAUAAGCCAAGAUGCUCGAGAGAAUCCUCCUUAAGGAACUAGGCAAAAUCACCCCGUAACUUCGGGAGAAGGGGUGCCUGAUCCGUGAAGCCUUCGCGGCGUAAGCGGUGAUGGCCACAGUAAAGAGGCUCGGGUGACUGUUUAGUAAAAACACAUCACUCUGCAAAGUCGUAAGACGACGUAUAGGGUGUGACACCUGCCCGGUGCUGGAAGGUUAAGGGGAGUGGUCAAGCGCAAGCUGAAGCUACGAACUGAAGCCCCAGUAAACGGCGGCCGUAACUAUAACGGUCCUAAGGUAGCGAAAUUCCUUGUGGGGUAAGUUCCCACGCGCACGAAUGGUGUAACAACUUGAGCGCUGUCUCGAGGAGGAACUCGGCGAAAUUGUAGCGGCGGUGAAGAUGCCGUCUACCCGCACCAAGACGAAAAGACCCCAGAACCUUUACUGCAUUCUGGUAUUGGAUUUGGUUAUUGAUUGUGUAGGAUAGCUGGGAGCCUGUGAAGGCGGGGCGUUAGCCUCGCUGGAGGCAACGGUGAAAUACCAGCCUGUUGAUGACUAGAUUCUAACCUUGUCCUGUGAAACCAGGCAGGAGACAGUGCCAGAUGGGCAGUUUGACUGGGGCGGUUCCCUUCUAAAGAAUAACGAAGGGGUCCAAAGGUUCACUCAAGACGGUCGGCAAUCGUCUGUAGAGUGCAAAAGCAUAAGUGAGCCUGACUGCGAGUCCGACAGGACGAGCAGGCACGAAAGUGGGGUUUAGUGAUCCGGUGGUUGAAUGUGGGAUUGCCAUCGCUCAACGAACAAUAGGUACUCUGGGGAUAACAGGCUGAUCGCGCUCGAGAGUUCAUAUCGACAGCGCGGAUUGGCACCUCGAUGUCGGCUCAUCCUAUCCUGGGGCUGUAUAAGGUCCCAAGGGUCCGGCUGUUCGCCGGUUAAAAGGGUACGUGAGCUGGGUUUAGAACGUCGUGAGACAGUUCGGUCUCUAUCUGGUGUGGGCGCACGAUCAUUGAAGCAAAGAUCUCCUUAGUACGAGAGGACCGGGAGAUACGAACCUCUGGUGUUCCAGUUGUCCUGCCAAGGGCAAUGGCUGGGUAGCCAUGUUCGGGAGGGAUAAGCGCUGAAUGCAUAUAAGUGCGAAACCCGUUGCAAGAUGAAUGAUCGAUUCCCCGCAAGGGGAUGAAGGCACGUUGUAGACUACGACGUUGAUAGGCCGUAUGUGUAAGAUCCGUAAGGAUUUUAGCUAAGCGGUACUAAUCUGCCAAACGCUUGAUCAU
rnacentral:rRNA from 1 species